rnacentral:rRNA from 1 species
GGAAUCUUGCGCAAUGGGCGAAAGCCUGACGCAGCAACGCCGCGUGCGGGAUGAAGGCCUUCGGGCUGUAAACCGCUUUCAGCAGGAACGAAAAUGACGGUACCUGCAGAAGAAGGAGCGGCCAACUACGUGCCAGCAGCCGCGGUGACACGUAGGCUCCAAGCGUUGUCCGGAUCUAUUGGGCGUAAAGAGCUCGUAGGCGGUUGAGUAAGUCGGGUGUGAAAACUCUGGGCUUAACCCGGAGACGCCAUCCGAUACUGCUCUGACUUGAGUUCAGGAGGGGAGUGGGGAAUUCCUAGUGUAGCGGUGAAAUGCGCAGAUAUUAGGAGGAACACCGGUGGCGAAGGCGCCACUCUGGACUGAAACUGACGCUGAGGAGCGAAAGCAUGGGUAGCAAACAGGAUUAGAUACCCUGGUAGUCCAUGCCGUAAACGGUGGGCACUAGGUGUGGGUUCCAACUAACGGGAUCCGCGCCGUCGCUAACGCAUUAAGUGCCCCGCCUGGGGAGUACGGUCGCAAGACUAAAACUCAAAGGAAUUGACGGA